UACGGAAGGCAGCAGUGGGGAAUAUUGCACAAUGGGCGCAAGCCUGAUGCAGCCAUGCCGCGUGUAUGAAGAAGGCCUUCGGGUUGUAAAGUACUUUCAGCGGGGAGGAAGGCGAUGUGGUUAAUAACCGCGUCGAUUGACGUUACCCGCAGAAGAAGCACCGGCUAACUCCGUGCCAGCAGCCGCGGUAAUACGGAGGGUGCAAGCGUUAAUCGGAAUUACUGGGCGUAAAGCGCACGCAGGCGGUCUGUUAAGUCAGAUGUGAAAUCCCCGGGCUUAACCUGGGAACUGCAUUUUGAAACUGGCAGGCUUGAGUCUCGUAGAGGGGGUAGAAUUCCAGGUGUAGCGGUGAAAUGCGUAGAGAUCUGGAGGAAUACCGGUGGCGAAGGCGGCCCCUGGGACGAAGACUGACGCUCAGGUGCGAAAGCGUGGGGAGCAAACAGGAUUAGAUACC
rnacentral:rRNA from 1 species